ACAGGCAACCCAGGUCUUCUUCCAGAUUGUGGAAGUUUUGGUCUUUCAUUCUUCACAAUAAAUCUUGCUGCUGCUCACUGUUUGUGUCCGGCCCGUCUUUAAGAGCUGAAACACUCACGGCAAAAGUCCGCAGCUCCAUUCUUGAAGUCAGCGAGACCACGAAUCCACCGGAAGGAACCAACUCUGGACACAAUAGGGGCUUAUGAUCAGGCAAAGGAGACACCAGGAAAGAGGAGCAGAGUGGCUAGGGCAGUGCACUGCAGAUGCAUGGACGAAAGCUCGCAGCGACACAGGCAUGGGGUGUCUAAUCAGGGAUGAGUGUGAGCAGCAGAAUGAGGAGCAUGCUUUCCCAGAGGAAGAGAGGAAGCCACUGGAGAGAUGAAGGAUGCCAUGGACAGAUCAGAAUUGCUGAACGAUAUAAUUUUUCUUUUCCCUGAAGAACUUCUGUCAACACUUCUUGAAGAGCUGGUCUACCG